CGGUUCAAAGGCUGUGCUGACCUGUGAUCGUGCUCUCCCAAAGUGGGAUUCUCCUUCACAGCCUGACUUGCUGAAAGCAGUGGAGAAGUUGCGGUCUCCCGUCAAGAACCCUGGCAUUUCCAUGCCUGCUUCCCCCAUGGCCGAGUAAAGGAUGAGGAACACUGCAAGAGAAGAGGAACACUGCAAGAGAAGAGGAACACUGCAAGGGAAAAGUGCUUUUUCCAAGUCCCCCAACAGUUUGUAAUGAUUGGCAAGCCUAGAAAGGAGCUUAAUCGAGCACAGGGGCUGACCCUGGCUUUCUUCCUUCUUUCAAUUUCACCUCAGACGAUCGUAGGUGAAAAUGAAUCCAGGAGGAAUGUCAUUCUAGUCUCCAGUUCAACAAAUUCACCACACAGAUUCAAUUUGGCUGUGAAAUGCUAAAAUCCAAACCUAGCCGUAGUGGUCCCAGAGGCCCAGAGCAAUGGAAAAACAUGUCAGGAGGAGAGAAGACAAUCUUCAUAAGGCAGCCAUCCUGCCAGUCUACUUUGAAAUGAUUGGCACCGGAGAGUCCCAAGCUUCCCGACUACCCUCUGGGGCCCAAUGCUCUGUUUUUGAGUUGCCUGUGGAACUGAUACCAAUAUAUUUUGCGUUCCCCAAAUCUGUGGAUAUUUGCCUUUUUCCAUACAGAAAAAUUGUAAAUAUUUGAUUUGGCCAUAGCCACCCAGGCAGGGCAGUAUGGAGUGUUGGUACAGGGGAGGUGUCAGCAUCUGACUGCCAUCUUAACCACUCAUUCUCCAAGGACUCCAUUCCCUCUGCUUUCAAACACAUCCACAAAUCUAAGAAAAAUGCUCUCCUUUUCUACUGCACCCUCUAGCUAUCACUGCAUCUCCCUCUGACUGUGCCUGUCCAAACACUUUGGACGAGUUGUUUACUCCCACAGCCUUCGCUUUCUCUCCUCCAACUCCCUCUUCGACCCCCUACAAUCCAACUUCCGCUCCCUCCACUCCACUCAAAUUGCUCUCUCCAAAGUCACUAAUGGCUUUCUCCUUGCUACAUCUCCCAGACCCUGCUCCAUCCUAAUUCUCCUUGAUCUCUUGCAGCCCUUGGCACUGUGACUCCAAGUUCCAGGCUCCAGAACCAUCUUGGGACUGGCCCAAGGAGGGGGCAAGGAGUAAAUACUGGAGCAGCAGGUCAAAAGCUCUGUUUGGGCAGGAAUCAUGUCUUCCAAC